CCUAAAUCGGACGUCCUUCCAUGAAUCCUAGUCAACACUUUGAAUCCAGGUAAGCUAGGUGAGUAAGUAGGCUUUGUUUCUGUUGAAUCAAAAAUAUGUCACACUUUUUGAAAAUACAAUUUGAGUGACAUGAUAACAUUGUUUGAAAUUUUAACUAAUGCAUCCCUCAUCAAACUAGAACACAAAAUUCUGCUAUGAAAAUGAUUCCUUCAGAUUAUAUUUUAGGGUGAAACAUUUCCCAACAAAAAAGUGUUUGUUUAGGGUAGCAAGCUCCCUUCUGGUUAAAAGGAUUUGAGUGCAAGGUUGAUUACAAUGAAUGCAAGCAAGCAUGCUUCUACUGAGCCUUAGAAGAAACCAAUGAGUAUAUUCCAGAACCUCUUUUAUAUUACUUCAACACAAAAAGUUAUGUGAUAUCCUUCUUUCAUGUAGAUAUCCUAUUAGGUGAGAGCAUCAACAAGGUUUUGUUGAUCUAUCAUGAACCGGUUUAGAAUAAAUGUUUUUGAUGUACAUGCUUGUGGUAAGACAUGUAAGAAAUAUUUGGAGUUGCCGAUGAAGGUAAUCUGGAACUUUGAUUUAGUAAACAAAUAUGCCGUGGGAUUCUUUAUCUAAGUGAAAACAGGGAGAGGAGGUAAAUGACAUACCAGUGCCGAAACAGCCAUCGCGGAAUCAUUGAUCAUCGCAGCAACAUAUCACUUCCACAACAUCAGAAAAAACCAUUGAACCAGGUUAAUUAACCUUCUUGCGAUAUCUGAAUAGUAAAUAACAGUAUGUAUAAGAUGAGUUAGUACUUUUAACUAAUUGGUUUAGUUCUGUUGUGAAGAGUGCAAAUGAACUAUAUAAGCAAGCAAAAACGCUAACUACUGCAAGCAGCGUAAGCAUUCAUUUCAGGCAUAGACUACUAAUGGACUACUAUAAUCUUAAUUCAAAUAUUAAUAAAAAUGCCUUUGGUAUGAAUGUUGAUGCCUAAAUGUGUGUUUUGCUUAUGAACUUUGGCUAUAAAGGACAUCACUGUAAGAGGAGAAAAUUCACAAGCUUAAGAAGAGGCAUAAAUAACAAUGCACGCUGCCUCCGCGACAGACCAUGUCGCCAUCCUUAUUAUACAAAAAUACCACAAUCAAAAAUCAAAUGGGACCAGUACAUAAUCUGAAAUUUUGAACAUCGAAAAAUCUGAAUAAUAUGUGAACUGAUGGAAGU
rnacentral:lncRNA from 1 species